rnacentral:rRNA from 1 species
CUGAUUGAGCUGCAUGAUGAAGAUGACCGCGGACGGGUGAUAACGCUGGGUAACCUGCCCUAUACACAUGGAUAACAUACUGAAAAGUUUACUAAUACAUGAUAAUAUAUAUUUACGGCAUCGUAGAUAUAUCAAAGUGUUAGCGGUAUAGGAUGGACCCGCGUCUGAUUAGCUAGUUGGUGAGAUAACUGCCCACCAAGGCGACGAUCAGUAGCCGACCUGAGAGAGUGUACGGCCACAUUGGGACUGAGACACGGCCCAAACUCCUACGGGAGGCAGCAGUGGGGAAUUUUGCACAAUGGGGGAAACCCUGAUGCAGCGACGCCGCGUGAUUUAGAAGGCCUUCGGGUUGUAAAAAUCUUUUUUAUGGGAUGAAAAUGACAGUACCAUAAGAAUAAGGUCCGGCUAAAUACGUGCCAGCAGCCGCGGUAAUACGUAUGGACCGAGCGUUGUCCGGAAUCAUUGGGCGUAAAGGGUACGUAGGCGGCCCAGUAAGUUAGAAGUGAAAUAAUAUAGCUCAACUAUAUAAAGCUUUUAAAACUGCUAGGCUUGAGAGAUGGAAGGGAAAGUGGAACUCCUAGUGUAGCGGUGAAAUGCGCAGAUAUUAGGAAGAAUACCGGUGGCGAAGGCGACUUUCUAGAAUCUAACUGACGCUGAGAUACGAAGGCGUGGGUAGCAAACAGGAUUAGAUACCCUGGUAGUCCACGCAGUAAACGAUGAGUGCUAGUUGUUGGGAGUCAAAUCUCAGUGGCGCAGCUAACGCAUUAAGCACUCCGCCUGGGGAGUACGUACG